UGGGGAAUAUUGGACAAUGGGGGCAACCCUGAUCCAGCCAUGCCGCGUGUGUGAAGAAGGCCCUCGGGUUGUAAAGCACUUUCAGCGAGGAAGAACGCCUAGCGGUUAAUACCCGCUAGGAAAGACAUCACUCGCAGAAGAAGCACCGGCUAACUCCGUGCCAGCAGCCGCGGUAAUACGGAGGGUGCAAGCGUUAAUCGGAUUUACUGGGCGUAAAGGGCGCGUAGGCGGCAAUUCAAGUCAUCUGUGAAAUCUCCGGGCUUAACUCGGAACGGUCAGAUGAUACUGCUUUGCUAGAGUGCAGAAGGGGCAAUCGGAAUUCUUGGUGUAGCGGUGAAAUGCGUAGAUAUCAAGAGGAACACCUGAGGUGAAGACGGGUUGCUGGGCUGACACUGACGCUGAGGCGCGAAAGCCAGGGGAGCAAACGGGAUUAGAUACCCCUGUAGUCCCUGAGCGGGCUGGCAAGGCGCAU
rnacentral:rRNA from 1 species